rnacentral:rRNA from 1 species
GACGAACCGAGCGAACGUUGUUCGGAAUCACUGGGCUUAAAGGGCGCGUAGGCGGGUUAUCAAGUCUGGGGUGAAAUGCCACGGCUCAACCGUGGAACGGCCUCAGAUACUGACGACCUCGAGGGAGGUAGGGGCAUGUGGAACUGUAGGUGGAGCGGUGAAAUGCGUUGAUAUCUACAGGAACUCCGGUGGCGAAGGCGACGUGCUGGACCUCUUCUGACGCUGAGGCGCGAAAGCUAGGGGAGCAAACGGG